CUUAAUGAACUAAUCAUAUCAACUGACUUCAAAUAUUUCAUAUUCAAUCAUUUAAUAAAUCUUAUUCUUCUCUCCAAAUAUAUACAUCAAAAUACUUUAUAAUUACAUACUUCAAUUAUAUUUCAAAUAACAUAAUAUCUGGAAAUGUAACAAUUAUACAUGCCAUAAUUCUUCAUUAUAUAAAUCUCAAUCGACUACUCCCAAAUUAGUCACUUCUGCUUUGAUACUAUUCUUCUAAUCUUCAAGUAGCAACAACAUCUUCAACCUACGCGUGAUAAAAAUCGACGCGCUGAGUAUAAAACUCAGUGGUGCUCAUAAUUCAC
rnacentral:lncRNA from 1 species